rnacentral:rRNA from 1 species
GACGUAGGGGGGCAAGCGUUGUCCGGAUUUAUUGGGCGUAAAGAGCUCGUAGGCGGCUCAGAAAGUCGGGUGUGAAACCUCCAGGCUCAACCUGGAGACGCCACCUGAUACUGCUGUGGCUAGAGUCCGGUAGGGGAGCACGGAAUUCCCGGUGUAGCGGUGAAAUGCUUAGAUAUCGGGAGGAACACCAGUGGCGAAGGCGGUGCUCUGGGCCGGAACUGACGCUGAGGAGCGAAAGCGUGGGUAGCAAACAGG